rnacentral:tRNA from 1 species
AGUGGGCCAGUGGUUAAAGCACUUGGCUCCUAACCAAAUGGUUGGUGGUUCAAACCCACCAGCCACUC